rnacentral:rRNA from 1 species
UACAGGGGGGGCAAGCGUUGUUCGGAAUUACUGGGCGUAAAGGGCUCGUAGGCGGCCAACUAAGUCAGACGUGAAAUCCCUCAGCUUAACUGGGGAACUGCGUCUGAUACUGGAUGGCUUGGAUCCGGGAGAGGGAUGCGGAAUUCCAGGUGUAGCGGUGAAAUGCGUAGAUAUCUGGAGGAACACCAAUGGCGAAGGCAGCACUCUGGGACGUGACUGACGCUGAGACGCGAAAGCGUGGGGAGCAAACAGG